rnacentral:lncRNA from 1 species
GAUCCAGCUUCUUAUAGAAGAAGCAUUCUACCUGGCUCUUAUCGAUUUUUGACUUCUUGCCCUGCUUCAGCUUUGGAUCGAUGGCAUGAACCUUUUGCACCUUCUUCUUCUUUCCUCUCUUGGAGGAAUGACGAUCUACAGAUGAUCCUCCCAUGACAUGCACCGGCUCCUUCUGGAGUUGAUGGUCCUUCUCAAAUGUCUGCAACAAUCCUAGCAAAAUAUGAUAGUUUACUGCUA